CUCUGUUGGUGCCAACCUGUGUCACAGGCGUGGGACCUCUGGAAGUCCACAGGCCGAUUAAGCAGAAGCUUUGCACAAGGGAUGCUUUGAUUUCUUGUCUCCACCUGACAGAUACCUCCCACGAAUGUUAUCUCAUGUGGAAAAGAGAACUGGACAACUAUUUCGCUAAAACAGGAAGAUCAUAGGAAUCUACCAUCCAGUUCCAGCACAGCGGUGGUCCAGGAACCCACAUGGGGAUGCCAGGGCUGCUGGGACCCACACACUGUCGGGAGCACUCACAUCCUGGGUAUCCCAGGGAUCCACCUCCUUCCUUCUCUUCCCAAAGUUGCUACCUUCCAGUGUCUGGAUUCCAAGUUGGAGAGGCUGACUAGUUGCUGCUUACCACUCCACCAUCUUCCUGGAAGCAAGUUCACUAUUCCUGUUGUCUUUGUCUCUGACUGAGAGCUGCCUGAGGUGCUGAGCAAAGGCUGUGUUUUGCCCGGACACCAUCCCUUCCUCCACAGCUUGAUUUUGAUGUCCUCCAUCUCCCUAUCACCAAGGCAGGAGGCCUCUCCCCACUGUGCUCCAUACAGUCUGAGGCCAACCCAGCAGUCUCUAGUCACAAAUGCCUGCUGAGAAUCAGCUUUGUGGCUGCCACUGUGUCAUGGCUCAUGGGGCGAGGAGGUGGAGAACGAAAAG
rnacentral:lncRNA from 1 species